rnacentral:rRNA from 1 species
UACGGAGGGUGCAAGCGUUAUCCGGAUUCACUGGGUUUAAAGGGUGCGUAGGUGGGCAGGUAAGUCAGUGGUGAAAUCUCUGGGCUUAACCCGGAAACUGCCGUUGAUACUAUCUGUCUUGAAUAUAGUGGAGGUGAGCGGAAUAUGUCAUGUAGCGGUGAAACGCUUAGAUAUGACAUAGAACAUCGAUUGCGAAGGCAGCUCGCUACACUAUGAUUGACACUGAGGCACGAAAGCGUGGGGAUCAAACAGG